ensembl:lncRNA
GUGAGGUCUGUGAAUAACAGACGCCCAAAGGAACUAAUGUUUUAAGCCAAAGCAAUUUGGGUAACAGGACAGGCUUGGGGGAAAAAAACCACAGUGCCAGAUUUUGGAUUAUGCUGCACAUCAGUGCUAAAAAAGAAGCCACACAUGUUGUGAAUAUAUAGCCCAGGAACACAUUUUAUGAGCAUAUUCCUAAUGUGGCGUGUGCGUCGCUUUCUCUUAUUAUUGAUAAUAACUAACUAUAGCUUCUGCUUUAGCUCUCCCUCCUGUUCUCCCCCAUUCGACUGCAGGAUUUAACAGACCAGUGAUGAUACACAAACGUGUGAUCCAGAUUCCAUCAAACAGCAUUAAAAUGUCCCAGUGAGCACAGCGGCUGUUCAGAGGGCCAGGCCCUGUGGGUUCACUUGGGUCUGGCAUUGGGGAGCAUCCUUCUGGCAUCCGUAUGGGAGGGCUGGAGAGGAGUCUUCUGUUGAGGCAGCCUGGGCAUCAGCUUCUCUUGGUCAAUAAGGCUGCGUGUCAGGAGUGGCAGUGUUCAGUCUUUCUAGAAGUGCUUCUCUUCAGCAUACCAGGUGCCCUUGCAGAGAUGAGAGCCUGGCUUUUCCUUCUGCAAACCCAAAUCAACCCUCUCUGUUCACCUUUGUCCCCACGGUAAGCCCAGAGGAAUUGCUGGGAACCUGGUGGUGAAUUUGUAUAAUUGAAGUUUUGGAGGAGGGUUGUGGGGCUGGAGGUGUGAGCUAUGAGGUGUCAGGUGAGGGCUGAACUAUUGCUCCGCAGGGAUGACCCCAAGAGCUGGUGCCUCUAGGCACGGGAUAUGCCCAUGGCAGGCUGCUCAGCCGGCUCCAUCCACACCUACACUUCAUGUCACAUCCCUCGGGGACCUGGGGCGUGCUGCCUGACGGGCAGCUGUUGCAUCACAGCUGGGCUGGGCCCACUGCCACAGAAGGCUGUGCCUCCGGACCCUGUGAAGCACCCAUCCCCAGGCUGGUCUUGCAGCAGACUGCUCCUGAGGGUUACUCCUGUUAUUGCUGUUGGUUGCACGCCCAAGGUUUUGAUGCAGGCUGUUCAUGUAGCUCUUGUGCUGGGUUUCUUCUGGCAGCUUUCAGCACCAACAUCUCUUUUCCCACCACACUCGUAUCUGCUACGGACUGCACACCAGCAGCAUCCCACGGAAGAAUCCAUCCUGUGCCACGAAUCGGAUGUAACUUGGGCCACGUGUCUCCACUGAUCGUGGCCCAGCAGGGUUGGCCACCACCCCUUACCAGCAUCCCACGGAAGAACCCAUCCUGUACCAUGAAUCAGAUGCCAGUUGGGCCACGUGUCUGCACUGGCCGUGGCCCAGCAGGGCUGGCUCUCACCCAGGCGGCGCAGCCAGCUCAUCCCGCACCGUGCAGUGCCGGGCCGGGGGACGGAAGCACAGCUCAGCCCCGUGUCACGCCGAGCACCACUGUGCACCGGGCUUGGCGUGACAGCUCGGCUGCCUGCGGUCGUCUAUGGCAACUGAGCCACCUUGGAAGGCUGCGCUGCCUGUGUGGGUUUGAAAUUGUGUGGUUGUUUUUGUUCCCUCGUGGAAAAAAAAAAAAAAAAAAAGACAAUCUGAUUUGUAUGUAACUGAAUAAAUUCCUUGUUAACCUUUAGAGCCA